CCUACGGGUGGCAGCAGGGAGGAAUAUUGGUCAAUGGCCGGAAGGCUGAACCAGCCAUGCCGCGUGAAGGGCAGGGACCUAGGGGCGUUAAACUUCUUUUGUGCGGGAGCAAGAAUGGGCACGGGUGGCCAGACGAGAGUACCGUACGAAGAAGCAGCGGCUAACUCCGUGCCAGCAGCCGCGGUAAUACGGGGGAUGCAAGCGUUAUCCGGAUUUAUUGGGUUUCAAGGGUGCGUAGGCUGUGAGGUCAGUCAGCGGGGAAAUGCCCCCGCUCAACUGGGUGAAGGGCCAUUGAUACUGCCUUGCUGGACUGCGGAUGCCGUGGGAGGAAUGUGUGGUGUAGCGG
rnacentral:rRNA from 1 species